rnacentral:lncRNA from 1 species
AGCCAUACACUUAGAUUAGAUGCCCACAGUUGGCAUCAGCAGUCACAAAUUAAGAUGCCCACAAGUCUUGCAUCCACAGCUACAUAAUUAAGAUGUCCAUAGCUCUCACAUCUACAAAUACAUAAUUAAGAUGUCCCUAGGUCACAAAAGCAUCCACUGGUUGAUUAGUCUUUCCCAAAAGGUAGCAUCUUCUUAGCCGCACCUUCACUAUCUAAAGGUUAUAAGUGGCAACUAGCAACAGCCACUACCACAAACACAUUCUACCUUCAAGCAUGGUGUCAUUGAGAUUGUCUUCAUCGUGGCCAUCCAUGGCAUUAUCAUAAUUGGUUGAUUCCGAGCCAACAUGAGAAACACCAGUGGCCUAUAUAUGUGAAGAGAAAUAUUUGUCAGUUCGAUACUGGAUAGUAGUAGUAGUAGUAAUCUUCCAGACGAUAACUGCUCCAACCCAUGAAGUGACUAUACAAUUAAAUUGCCUCGAAAUGAUACCCUUCAUCAUGCCUAAUAUCACUCCCCAAGUGCUGCAUCCAUGUUUCGUAGUCUUCCCUAUAACCGUGCUUGCAUAAGUGUAUCUCUACAGCAUCUCUUUUGAGACUAAAAUAGUUUCGGCACAUGGCACAAGGACACUCAAUGGUGUCAUUUGUAGCUACCUCCAUAUUGGAAAAUGCAUGGUUCAAAAAUUGAGUGGUUUGAUUAAUCCAUUCAUUAGAGGGCGCUUUACCACGCUGCUGCCAGCCACUGCACAUCCAAUUAUACUCUGACAUAUUAACUAGCUGUAUCUGAGAGAUUAAAAUUAUUAGGCAUCGCAUUGUUUUCAUGUUGUAGUGUUUUAGAAAAUAGGAAAAUCAGACAAAGAAACAAGCAGAUCUAUAGAGCAUCUCAAUUAAAGCAC